rnacentral:rRNA from 1 species
CAAUAGCGUAUAUUAAAGUUGUUGCGGCGAAAUAGCUCGUAGUUGGAUUUCUGCUGAGGACGACCGGUCCGCCCUCCGAGUGGGCAUCUGGUUCGGCCUUGGCAUUUCCUUGGCGAACGUAUCUGCACUUGACUGUGUGGUGCGGUACCCAAGACUUUUACUUCCAGGAAAUUCGAAUGUGUCAAGCAGGCAUGCGCCUUCAAUACAUUAGCAUGGAAUAAUAAGAUAGGACCUCGGUUCUAUGUUGUUGGUUUCUAAGGCCGAGGUGACAAUUACUGAGCAUAGUUGGGAGGCAUUCGUAUUGAACUGUCAGGGUGGGAUUCUUGGAUCCGUGAAAGACGGACUACUGCGACAGCAUUUGCCAAGGAUGCUUUCAUUGGUUAGGGACGAGAGUUAUGGGAUCGAAGAUGAUUAGAUACCG